rnacentral:rRNA from 1 species
CACGUAUUUAGCCGGAGCUUCUUUUUCAGGUACCGUCGCUUUCUUCCCUGCUGAUAGAGCUUUACAUAACGAAUUACUUCUUCACUCACGCGGCGUCGCUGCAUCAGAGUUCCCUCCAUUGUGCAAUAUUCCCCACUGCUGCCUCCCGUAGGAGUCUGGGCCGUGUCUCAGUCCCAAUGUGGCCGUCCACCCUCUCAGGCCGGCUACUGAUCGUUGCCUUGGUGUGCUUUUACCACUCCAACUAGCUAAUCAGACGCGGGUCCAUCUCAUACCAGAUUUCUCCUUUUCACACAAAAACAUGCGUCCUCGUGCGCUUAUGCGGUUUACCUACCACGUUUCCCGUACUGCUAUCCCCUCGUAUGAGGCAGGUUGCCCACCGCGUUACUUCCACCCGUCCCGCCACCUAAGAUACUUCUCUUUCUACCUCGUAAAAGCUUCCAAGACAUAUCUCCGUUCGACUUGCAUGUGUUAGCACGCCGCCAGCGUUCAUCCUGAGGCCAGGUAA